CUGUUAAUUACUAAAAUUCUGGGCAAGUAUACUUUUCACGCUAGUUCCUCAUUCUGUUCAGUCUAUUUACUUUAGUUGUUGAUUACAUAUUUGCAAUAAAAUUGUCAUUCUUAAUGUAAUUAUUUCUAUUGAGAUGUAUUUCUUUAGUGAGACUAUAAGGAAUACAAUCACAAAAUACUUUAGUCUUUGAUCAUUUUAUUUUAGUAAACUCUGAAAUGACAGUGAAAUGUAGGGGUAAGAUAGGGGUAAGAUUGGGUAAGAUAGGGGUAAGAUAGGGGUAAGAUUGGGGUAAGAUUGGGUAAGAUAGGGGUAAGAUUGGGGUAAGAUAGGGGUAAGAUAGGGGUAAGAUUGGGGUAAGAUUGGGUAAGAUAGGGGUAAGAUAGGGGUAAGAUUGGGGUAAGAUUGGGUAAGAUAGGGGUAAGAUAGGGGUAAGAUUGGGGUAAGAUAGGGGUAAGAUUGGGUAAGAUAGGGGUAAGAUAGGGGUAAGAUUGGGUAAGAUAGGGGUAAGAUAGAAGUAAGAUAGUUGGACAGAGUAUGCGCAAAAAAAUAAAUAUAUGAAAAAACGGGAACGUAAGCUCUAGAUAGGAUAGUGGAUCCAUUUCAUAAAUGAUAUAAGUUAACAUAGAUGGCAUGUGUACUAGUGAGAUGGGGAAAGUCCAAACUUUAUUCUUUUAGAUUUUUAAAUCUCAGGGUAGCUUUAUUCCACUUUCACUCCAUAAUUCCAAGUUCU